rnacentral:lncRNA from 1 species
CCCACCUCCUUUUACUAAUGCUCCACCAAGAACACCUUUAAAUAAAGCUCCACCUGCACCUCCGCCGCCUUCUUACACUAGUGCUCCAACGGCACCACCCCCACCUCCUCCACCCCCUUUUAGUACAAGUCAGUCUCCAUCGCCUCUUUUUAGUAGAGCUCCACCACCACCACCACCCCUUCCUUCAUCAAGUGGAAGACCACCUCCACCUCCACCUCCUCCAAUGUCUAGAGCCCCUCCACCUCCACCCUUUCCUGGAGCACCUCCACCACCUCCACCACCACCUCCUGGUGGUGGUCGAGGCCCACCCGCUCCCCCUCCUCCUGGCGGUCGAGGCCCACCUCNNNNNNNNNNUCCCCCCCCCCCCCCCCCACCUCCUUUUCCAUAUCCUCCGCCACCCCCACCCCCACCUCCUUUUACUAAUGCUCCACCACCCCCACCCCCACCUCCUUUUACUAAUGCUCCACCAAGAACACCUUUAAAUAAAGCUCCACCUGCACCUCCGCCGCCUUCUUACACUAGUGCUCCAACGGCACCACCCCCACCUCCUCCACCCCCUUUUAGUACAAGUCAGUCUCCAUCGCCUCUUUUUAGUAGAGCUCCACCACCACCACCACCCCUUCCUUCAUCAAGUGGAAGACCAC